rnacentral:rRNA from 1 species
CGAGAAGUCCACUGAACCUUAUCAUUUAGAGGAAGGAGAAGUCGUAACAAGGUUUCCGUAGGUGAACCUGCGGAAGGAUCAUUGCCGUCGCCCCGAAACACGACCGCGAACGCGUAACGUAAAGCCUCCGGGGAGGUACCCCCUCCCCGGACCCCCCGGCCGGGUGCCGGAACACGGCGCGGACUGUCGCCAAGGAACACCGAUCUGCCCRGGCACGCCGCACCCCGCGGCGCCGCCGAGGCCAACGAAGCAGUACGACUCUCGGCAACGGAUAUCUCGGCUCUCGCAUCGAUGAAGAACGUAGCGAAAUGCGAUACGUGGUGUGAAUUGCAGAAUCCCGUGAACCAUCGAGUCUUUGAACGCAAGUUGCGCCCGAGGGACCCUCCCGAGGGCACGCCUGCCUGGGCGUUAGAAGCCCAUCAACGCUCGGUCGCCCCCGACCGCACGCGGACACUGGCCCUCCGAGCCGCAGGGGCACGGCGGGCUGAAGCGCGAGGCCGUCGACCGCGUCGGGAGCGGCAAGUGGUGGGCUACAGCGCAUGCCGACCCCGACCCGCGUCGRCAACCGGCCCCUCCCGACCCCACGACGAGGAGACCGUCGCCGCGGCGUCCCCGCCGCGCGACGCAUUCGGACCGAUACCCCAGGUCAGGCGGGGCCACCCGCCGAGUUUAAGCA